rnacentral:rRNA from 1 species
UACGGAAGGGGCAAGCGUUGUUCGGAAUCAUUGGGCGUAAAGGGCGCGUAGGUGGUUCGUGUAUGUCUACCGUGAAAGGCAUACAGCUCAACUGAUAUUUUGUCGGUAGAAACUGCAGGACGUUGAGGCUGGGAGGGGCUGGUGGAAUUCCCUGUGUAGCGGUGAAAUGCGUAGAGAGUGGGGAGAACACUCGUGGCGAAGGCGGCCAGCUAGACCAGUUCUGACACUGAGGCGCGACAGCGUGGGGAGCAAACAGG